ensembl:ncRNA lncRNA:CR44220 long non-coding RNA:CR44220
CGAAUGACACGCGCAUAUAGAAAAUAAGAGCGAGACAAAGGCUCAAAAAAAGAGAGAGGAGACCGAAACUGGAAAAACAAUAAAAUCAUAAUAAUAAAAGUAAAAAAUCCAUUUUACACCCCUAAUAACGCUUCGGCCGGAGGACAGAGGCCAAAAGGCGACAGCAACAGAGAACGACGUGGAAUCGGAACACGGAACAACCAGCAAGCCGCACCAAGCAAUGGCGCUCAAAAGUAAGGGGCAUGCGAAGGUGAUUUCAAAAAUAAAUAGAGACAAACAAAUGAAUCCUGUGAGACCAAUUGCACGCGCCACAGCCAAGGAAGUUCAUACACUCCCACUCACCCACACUUACUUUAUGCGCUGUUUGGUGCGUCGAUUUAAACUAAAAAUAAUAGGUGGC